UACGGGGGGGGUAAGCGUUGUUCGGAAUUACUGGGCGUAAAGGGCUCGUAGGCGGCCAACUAAGUCAGACGUGAAAUCCCUCAGCUUAACUGGGGAACUGCGUCUGAUACUGGAUGGCUUGGAUUCGGGAGAGGAAUGCGGAAUUCCAGGUGUAGCGGUGAAAUGCGUAGAUAUCUGGAGGAACACCGGUGGCGAAGGCGGCAUUCUGGACCGAUAUUGACGCUGAGGUGCGAAAGCGUGGGGAGCAAACAGG
rnacentral:rRNA from 1 species